AUAUUGACGAAGUUGUUAUGUAGAUAUAAGUAUUCCAAGUAUACCUUUAUCUAAAUUUCUGCCUUUCGUCAUUAGAUUGUAAGAAAUGGGUAAAUCACUAACUAUAGUAAUAAUUUAAGAAUUUCUCGCUAUUAACAAUAAUCUAAAAAUUGUACUCACAUAAUAUAAAAAAAUUAAAAAGAAGUAUUAAAUUAUGUUGGACGAGUGAUUCAGUUAUAGAAAUUCUCGUAGAGCACUAUUUUUUUUAAUUUACAUGUAUCAUUUUUAAUAUUGAAGAAAAUAUCUACUCGAAUAUUUUAUUGAAACGCUGCACUAUAUCUAUUCAGGCUCGAGUGUUUAUGAUGUUAUUUUGUAAAUAUUUCAAGUGCAGUAAAACAUUUUUUUGCGUAAUGUAAUGUUAAUCUACCGUUCAAAGACGGAACGGUUGAAUCUUGAUAUGUGUGCUAAACAAAUAUAAUUCAGUCUUACUCAGCAAAAUAUUUUCGAUGACUUGUACAACAAAAUUACUGUAAUUCAAUUUUAACGUACCUAAAUAACCAAGAAGUAUCAUAUAUUCAUGCAUAUAGAUGACUAUAUGCAAAGUAUAAUUUUUUUUAAAGUGCAAUUUAGCACUUUUAGAAGACAGUUAAAUUCAUGGUAAGUAUAUAAGGUACGUUAAGAAUACUAAAUCAUAUCUUAGUAAUAAAAAGUGUAAGACAAAUUCAGCUUCCUUCAGUUUCAAAGAAAACACAUGCUGCAAAAACAAUUUUUGAUUUAUAGGAUUUAAAAGUGAGCCCAAAAUAUAAGCAAAAUUAAAUCUAGUGUUUCCUUUGCUAAAACUAUGAUCAUCUCACGGUGUGUAACAGACUCAAGUCUCAAAUUCUCAAGUGAACAAGCAUUUAUUAUAAUUAUUAUUAUUAUUAUUAAUACAGUUUGCCGACCGUAGUAAUAAAAUUUUUAACUUCACGAGAAAAGUCACCAGGUACAAAAUUUAAUUCACUUUUUUUAUAUUACAAAAGAAAAUAAUACCACGAAAGAUAACGCACCGUUAAAUUUCUAGCAAUACUAAUAACAAAUGAAUCAUUUGUAAAAUUCUUCAAUUAUAAUUAUUCAGAUAACUACACAGUUGUCAGUUUUUAAAACCAGAAAAUAUAUUAUGUAUAGUACAUAAUAAAAAACAAGUUCGUUUGUUAAACUUUAGUUUCUGGUUUCCAGCAAUUCAAUGUAUUAUAUUUAUAUAUAUAAUGUACUUUUACACAAAAAACAGCAGAUUUUUUAGACAUCAGGCACGUAUUCACCGAAAACAUUUGAUAAGGGUGCGUUUUUUAUUUUAUUUUAUUGUAUCCUCGUCCUGGUUCUCAAAAUGGCGUCAGAAUUGUCUACAAGGACCGCAAGGCAGCACGUAAAAAGUCGAUUUUAUAACAUUAAAAAUAUUUUUCUCUUGGCGAAUCUUUUAUACGAGCGAAGCGCUUGCAGAUCUCUCAAUUAAUUCAUCAACAUAGUCAAUUACUGUCGCCAGUCUGACGCGACGCCGUUAGCAUUUUCCAUUAAGUAUAUCGUUUUAGUGAUUAUUAUUCAGCCCGUUGUAAAUGGAUCUCAGGGUUCUAUUACCGCACUUACACGGGCAUAUAUGAUUAAUACAAUACACCUAUUGACUAUCACCAGUUUGCAAAACGUUCCAUUCGCGACAGAAAAACAGAGGCCCUACACUACCUCGAUGACGGCGUUUAUUGAAAUUAAUGUGGUUAAUAAUAUUGCAACCCGGCAAAGGGUGAGCGCAUAUUGUAGGGAAAUAAGCUAUUAAGUCCCUGAAAAUGAAACAAUUAAAAUGAUUAAAUCAAUACAUUCAGUAAAACUCACCGACCAAGACACAACGACAUUCGACGAAGAACGUUUUAAAAUUAAACUGAAUUUUGUAAUAAUCUGCAAACAAAAAUUAAAAUCCACGACAAAAAGAUAUUUUAAUUUCCAAAUAAAUGAUUUUAACUAAAUUUAAUUUUGAAUUCAUUUGUAGACAUUGAAUAGCUCACAAUAUUUUCAUUUCUUUGAAAAUAAACAAGUCACUCGCAUAAAUGAGAACCAAAUUUUUUUGUCGGGGGUUUUAUGAUUUGUAGAUCUUAAUUGACCUCAGUCAUCGUAUAUUUAACAUCAAAAAUGAAAAAUUGUCAGUUACACUACAUU